UUUUUUUUUUUUUUUUUUUUUUUUAUGAGAUCAGAGCAACGUUUCUUUGCGUGUGUGCAUUUUGUGUACUUAUGCUUUGUUUAUUUGGAUGAAAUUGUUUGCAUUUAGAACCUUAUCUAUAUGAAAAUAUCAAUUUGGGGGUACUAUUAUUUUUGGUUAGUAGCUAUUAUUAAGGGUCGGUAAUCAAGUUAUUAGAGGUCAGUAAUUUGAUUAUUAGGGUCAGUAACUUAAUUAUUUUCUAGUAUUUCUUCUGUUCUAUUACAUUAAGCUGAAAUAAGUAGAUUAUUGUGGGUCAAUAACUAAUUAUUGAGGGUUAGUAGAUAAUUCUUAGGGAUCAGUAACUCAGUUAAUGUAACAUCCCAGAAUUUCGGUUUUCUAUUUUUAAAAGAAAAAUCAUUAUUGAGCUAUUUUUAUUUCGAUUUCUAUUAUUCUUCAAAUUCUUUCUGGCUUUUGAAAAUUAUUCAAAUUUUUAGUUUGUUUAGUUUUGUCUUUCGAGCCCAUAAGAUUAACCUAGACGUCGUUACGAGUUCGUAGGAUAUUCGGAGCAUCGUUUGGACUUCGGAUUUAUUUUUAAUGAUUUUUGGAAGAUGGUAUUAUCCAAAAAUUUAAUUAAAAAUAGAAUUUUUACUGGCAUCUUCUGGGCCGUCUGAUCUACUAAACCAUUUAAUCAUAGUCGUUAGAUGGUGUAUAUACAUAGUGGAAGAGAGAAGGAGAUCAAAUCAGUUCAGACCCAGACCGGGUCUCUGCCGACCCGAAUAGCAGCGACGGGCGACCCGGUUGCCGCUCCGUCCUCCGGCGGCGGCGAGGAGAAAGAAAGGUGGCGACGGCUUUGUCUCGACCAAGGAUUAAAAUCUCUUCGACAAAUCUGAUAUAUCCUCCGAUGUCUCCCUUUUUUGAAUGACCGAUAUAUCUAUAGGCGUCAAUAUCUUUUCUUCCACCGUAUCUACGAUAUUUCCUCGAUAUUUCUCCGAUACCGUCAAAUAUCACCGAUAUUUAGGAAAUAUCUCCAACAUUUAUGAUAUUUUCGAUAUAUCACCGAUAUAUUAAAAAAAUAUCUGUAAAAAAAUUGAAAUGAUAUCCGGAAGAAAAGUAAUUCCCUCGAGGUAUAUCCCAAUAAACAGUAGUGGUCUCGACUCUCUAGAAGUAAAAGAUAACGUGAUAAAUGAAAACAACUAUAUCGAUUUACUUCAUGUUGCAAGUGAACCACUUCAUGAUGGCAUUGAUCCACUUCAAGCUUGGAUUAUGCCUACACACCUCGAUGAUGAUGAUGGAAAUCCACCUCCUGAAGUGGUUGAAACUGCAACUGCCAAUGGAAUCAACAUACAAAGGGUAUUAUCUGAAGAAGUUGUUGGAAACCUAGAAGAUAAUUAAUUUAGACAAUGAUGAUGCAUGGGGCGGCACAUCAACUCUAGAUAGUUCAGAUGAUAAUUAAGAUGGUGGAAGCGAAAAAGGUGGUGGAAAUACCGGGUUUGUAUAUGGACAAUAUUUUACAGUUGGUGGAUUGAACAAUUUUUCAUCUGAAGAAAAUUACGAUCACGCCUCCCAUGAUCAUGGCUAUAGAAGUACUAGGUAUGAAGUGCAAGAGGAUACCAUGUAUGGGAGGAGGACUACAUGUCCAAAUGAUGAUCAAGAUGUUGCUUCAGUUGCGCUAAGUUUUGAUUCUAUCAGUUUAGGUAGUGGGACUGGAACCUCAAAUGAAUCCCAAGAAUGCAACAAUCAAUAUGGCUAUAAUGUUUAUGGCUAUAAUCAAUGCGCGGAAGUCAGUGAUCAGUCAUCCAGUUGGAUUCAUCCUUACUAUUCGCUUAUCGGGGAAACAGUCGGCACCUCCAAAGACAUAUAUGAUUAUCAUAUUCAACACUACAAUUCCUACUAUAUGAGUCAUAUGUCUUGGUCUGAUUAUUAUACUUUUGUGGACCAGCGUGUGUCUUAUGACUCUUAUCAACAACCUUGAUUCUCAUUCUGGAUGUAGAUGAAGUUGAUGUUUGUAAUAUUGAUAUAUAAAUCCAAUAAAUUAAAUAUUUCAGAAAAAAAAAAUUCUUCCCAAAAUACUGAUAUUUUUUCCCAAGUUUCCCCAAUAUAUCCUCGAUAUAUCUGAAAUCUCCCUUUUUUCAAAAGACCGUUAUAUACACCGAUACUGAUAUUUUAAUCCUUGGUCUCGACAUCCUGGUCUUCUCCAUGGUAUUUAUUUUCAGAGAUGAAGUCCGGUGAAGAAGAAUCGAAGAAGAAGAAGAAAGGCUGGGUUCACUGGCCAACUUUGGAUUCCGGCCACGACAGCGGGCAUGGAUGGUGUUGGUAGCUUGUCUCGGUCUCGUCGACGUCCCUGUGGGUGGGAAUCGAUGCAGAGGAGUGGUUUGAGUUUUCGGACGAGUUUAUGUGUUUUCCGGCCACCGUCGAUGACAAGGGAGGUAUGAAACUUGAUCUUCUCGUCGAGCUCUACCUGUUUAUAUAAUUGGAAUUCAUAUUUGGUUAAGUUUGGAAGAAGGUGGAAUUUGGGCAGUCGACCACCGUGUGCGGUUGUUGUGCACAGCGGCGUUGAUGAUGUUUUGGGUUUUAGAUUAGCUAUCUUUGAUAUUGAUAGAGGCUUUGGAAUAUAAUUUCAUGGUUGGCUGUAAUUGAAUUUGAGAUUGGAGGAAUUGAUGAUUUUGGGGCAGUCAUCGGCUGUCGUGUGUGGUGGUGUUGUUGGCGUGCUGGCUUUGCUCAGGAACUUGAAUAGGUGUUGAUGAUGCUUGAACGUUCAAAAAAAGAGAGAAGGGGAUGAUUGAAAGGCUGAUUGUGGCUCGAGUGUUAGAACAGUGAUUGUUACAAUUGUUUUGUCUGAUGUUUGAGAGAAUUGUGGAAAUAGAAGAAUGAUUUUAAUUUAUGUAAUGGAAGUGCUCGUAUAUGAACAUGUUCAUCAUGAACAAGUCUGGAGAUUUGCUUGUUAGGUCUACAAGAAAAAUAUUGUGAAAUGGUGCAAAGGAAAAGAGGGAAGGAUGAUCAAGCUGUAAUGAGAGUUAUAAUGGGAGUUUUGGGUGUACAGAGUAAUUUCAGAUAUAGAUAUUAACUGCUAUUUGAAGUUGGGUUGGUGUUUAGAGAUGGAUUUUGUAUUUGGAGCAUAAUUGUAAGUUUGGAUAUUAUGAGAGAAUUGAGUAGUGAAUGUCGAAGAAUCGAAAAUAAGGACUUGGGUGUCCUUAGUAAAUUUAAGAAUUAGAUCAAGCUGAUUUGAAGUGAUUUGUCAUUAUUCUCGGAAAGAGGAUUCAGUUCGAGGAUUGAAUGCGAGUAGCUGGAUUUCAGAAGUAGAAGGAUAAGGAUUUCAGAAAGUGUGUCGCGGUGUCACUAAUUUUAGCUAGCGUCAGAAGCAACGCUUUGGAUUUCAGGUAGGGUCUCUUUCUCGGGGAACCUUUCUUAAAUUGAUAAUUAGGUUAUUAUUGAAAUCGUUGUUUUGUGUGCCAUUGAGUGAUUAACUCUUAGAUGUUAUUGCUUUCUAUUAAAGCAUGUGUAGUCAGUUACUUGUAUGAUCGAUGUUAUCGUUUUACUUAAAAGCAUGUGUUCAAUAUUGAAAUGUGAGUAUUGAUAUUCAAUUGUUAUGUAUAAAUAAUGCAUUGUGAAGAAUUGUGAGAAUGGUGAUUGUAGAGAUGAGAAUGUGACAGGACCCACCCCGAAUUUCACCCUGAAACCCGAGGUAAAUCCUGCGGGGUCCACCUUCAAGGAAAAUUUGCCGAAAAUUCGGCAUAACCUUCCUUAAAAAUGGACAACCCUUACCUGAAAAAUCAAACUUAACACUUUUAUAACCAAACAUCCAUCCUCAACACCUGGAGCCUUCCUGCUCCCCAAGUUCAACACAUCUCCCAAUAACAAUUGCUCAACUCUAAUAAUCCCACAACCAAGAAUAAGGACUAUUAAUAAUUUACUAUUGGACUUUCAGAGCAUAUCUACUGUUGAACGAAAAACAAUAAAUAAAGAAUAAGCGGAAGCAGCCUCUGACUAUGCCUCGACUCCAUGUACGCUCGACCUNNNN
rnacentral:lncRNA from 1 species